UCGAAUGUGAAUGUUGGAUCGACUGUUGCUGGCUCAGUUUUGACUACUGAAGCAUGUGCACGUCUACCAUUUUAUCUACACACCUGUGCACCUACUGUAGGUCCUUGAAAGAGGAUGCUAUGUAUUUUGAUAACCUUUACAUGUAUGGAAUGGGGAUAUAUAUUGGAUAUAUA
rnacentral:misc_RNA from 1 species